GCAACCGACCAUAGAACAUUCUUGAGAGAACAGCGCUUCCCGUCAGCUCAGCGGUACUUAAACUCAGUGUCGGCCGGCUAGUACUGACGUGGGUGACCAGUUGGGAAUCCCGGCUGUCGAUUGUU
rfam:Exophiala dermatitidis NIH/TT8656 unplaced genomic scaffold supercont1.1, whole genome shotgun sequence.